UCAAGCUUGAUUUAUAUUGGUGUAAAGGUUUUAUUUACAAUAAAAUUUUGUUGUUCGAUUCAACUGAGCUUGAG
rnacentral:tRNA from 1 species